GGACGCAGGUAGCGCGGCAGCCAAUCGGAAUAAAGGCGGGCACUGCUGCUCUCCGUCAUUGGCCAAAGGAGAGAUGCAGAUUAGCCAAUCACUGGGACGCGCUGCCGCCAGCCCUUAGCCAAUCGCGGCGGCGCUGGGGCGGCCGCCCGGGGGCUGGGGCUCGGCGGCGAAAUGGCCUCGGGCGCCCCGGGCUGUGCCCGUCCCACCGAGCCCCUGGCAGCGCCGCACGGCUGCCGCCGCUGCCUCCCGUACCAAGGGAGGGGUGCGGGCGCCGGAGGCGGGCACUGGCCCCAAGCCCCGGUGCCAGGCCGGCCAAGAUACCCGAGACUACUGCACACACUUUGAGAGCCAAAGUGCAAUGAAGGCUCCCAGAGAGCAGCACUCACCUGAGGAGCCCGAGGGGAGAGCAGAGCACAGGCAGAACAGCACCUCCAAAGUCAGCUAAAGGAGAAGGCAAAGGCAACCUCAGCCCAAGUGACCAAACUUCAUUCGGUUCUAAAAGCUAAAACGGAGAGGAAAACACACACGAGCAGUGCAGGAAGUGCUAACGGGCAGGGAGGACAGCACAGGGAGCAGGAUUUGUGUUCCCCGGGAGGUGUAAAUGAUCCUUUUCCUGCUCCGAUUGAGCCUCUUAAGGGCUGAUGCUUUGCCUGCCUCUGCAAGAGGAAAAUCAGCAUUGAAGUCUUCUCCUUAGAGAAGAAAGAGCAGAUCUUUGCUGCAGUUCGGUGCCUGGCAGAAGGCUGCCAGGAGGCAGCAUGAGUGAUUUGCUGCUUUCCCCAUUCAGCUUAAAUAAAUCUCCUCCUUCCCAGCUCCUGAACACGGAGCUGCGCUGGCAGUGGAUCACAGCUGAUCUCUGUACCGUGACAAGCGCUGAAAAUUGUGGGCUUCAUUGCUGCCUUCACCCACUCCUUCCUGAA